AUCGCUUCUCGGCCUUUUGGCUAAGAUCAAGUGUAGUAUCUGUUCUUAUCAGUUUAAUAUCUGAUACGUACCACAUUGUGGUACCUUAUAUUAAAUUGAUUUUUGGGACAGGGAGAUGGAAUAGGGGCUUGCUCCGUCCACUCCGCGCAUCAACCCGGUAUUGCAUUUUCUCCGGAUAAUGGUGCACCUCCC
ensembl:snRNA U2 U2 spliceosomal RNA